rnacentral:rRNA from 1 species
CCUACGGGUGGCAGCAGUGAGGAAUAUUGGUCAAUGGGCGCUAGCCUGAACCAGCCAUGCCGCGUGCAGGAUGACUGCCCUAUGAGUUGUAAACUUCUUUUAUACGGGAAUAAACUUCAGUACGUAUAUUGCUCUGCAAGUACCUUACGAAUAAGGAUCGGCUAACUCCGUGCCAGCAGCCGCGGUAAUACGGAGGAUUCGAGCGUUAUCCGGAUUUAUUGGGUUUAAAGGGUGCGUAGGCGGGUUGUUAAGUCAGUUGUGAAAGUUUGCUGCUCAACCUUAAAAUUGCAUUUGAUACUGGCAGCCUUGAGAGCAGUAGAGGUAGGCGGAAUGCGUGGUGUAGCGGUGAAAUGCUUAGAGAUCACAAAGAACACCGAUUGCGAAGGCAGCCUGCUAAGCUAUAUCUGACGCUGAGGCACGAAAGUGUGGGUAGCAAACAGGAUUAGAUACCCUGGUAGUC